UUUGACCUCAAAUCAGGUAGGAUUACCCGCUGAACUU
rnacentral:rRNA from 1 species